UGCCUUAGUAACGGCGAGUGAAGCGGCAAAAGCUCAAAUUUGAAAUCUGGCACCUUCGGUGUCCGAGUUGUAAUUUGAAGAAGGUAACUUUGGAGUUGGCUCUUGUCUAUGUUCCUUGGAACAGGACGUCACAGAGGGUGAGAAUCCCGUGCGAUGAGAUGCCCAAUUCUAUGUAAAGUGCUUUCGAAGAGUCGAGUUGUUUGGGAAUGCAGCUCUAAGUGGGUGGUAAAUUCCAUCUAAAGCUAAAUAUUGGCGAGAGACCGAUAGCGAACAAGUACAGUGAUGGAAAGAUGAAAAGAACUUUGAAAAGAGAGUGAAAAAGUACGUGAAAUUGUUGAAAGGGAAGGGCUUGAGAUCAGACUUGGUAUUUUGCGAUCCUUUCCUUCUUGGUUGGGUUCCUCGCAGCUUACUGGGCCAGCAUCGGUUUGGAUGGUAGGAUAAUGACUAAGGAAUGUGGCUCUACUUCGGUGGAGUGUUAUAGCCUUGGUUGAUACUGCCUGUCUAGACCGA
rnacentral:rRNA from 1 species